rnacentral:pre_miRNA from 1 species
GACAGUCAGAAGUUGGUCUGGCGUGAGAUUAGAUUCUCAGAUCAUCUCUUGGCUGAUGC